rnacentral:rRNA from 1 species
AAUAGAUACCCGGGUAGUCCACGCCGUAAACGAUGUCGACUUGGAGGUUGUUCCCUUGAGGAGUGGCGUUCCGGAGCUAACGCGUUAAGUCGACCGCCUGGGGAGUACGGCCGCAAGGUUAAAACUCAAAUGAAUUGACGGGGGCCCGCACAAGCGGUGGAGCAUGUGGUUUAAUUCGAUGCAACGCGAAGAACCUUACCUACUCUUGACAUCCAGAGAACUUAGCAGAGAUGCUUUGGUGCCUUCGGGAACUCUGAGACAGGUGCUGCAUGGCUGUCGUCAGCUCGUGUUGUGAAAUGUUGGGUUAGGUCCCGCAACGAGCGCAACCCUUAUCCUUUGUUGCCAGCGGUCCGGCCGGGAACUCAAAGGAGACUGCCAGUGAUAAACUGGAGGAAGGUGGGGAUGACGUCAAGUCAUCAUGGCCCUUACGAGUAGGGCUACACACGUGCUACAAUGGCGUAUACAAAGAGAAGCGACCUCGCGAGAGCAAGCGGACCUCAUAAAGUACGUCGUAGUCCGGAUUGGAGU